CCUACGGGUGGCCGCAGUGAGGAAUAUUUGUCAAUGGUCGAGAGUCUGAACCAGCCAAGUCGCGUGAAGGAUGACUGCCCUAUGGGUUGUAAACUUCUUUUAUAAAGGAAUAAAACGAGGCACGUGUGCCUUUUUGCAUGUACUUUAUGAAUAAGGAUCGGCUAACUUCGUUCCAGCAGCCGCGGUAAUACGGAGGAUCAGUGCGUUUUCAGGAUUUGUUGGGUUUAAAGGGAGCGUAGAUGGUUUGUUAAGUCAGUUGUGAAAGGUGACGGCUCAACCCCAAGAUUGCAAUUGAUAAUGGGAGUCUUGAGUACAGUUGAGGUAGGCGGAAUGCGUGGUGUAGCGGUGAAAUGCUGAGAUAUCACGAAGAACCCCGAUGGCGAAGGCAGCUUACUAACCUGUGACUGACGUUGAUGCACGAAAGUGUGGGUAUCAAACAGGAUUAGAUACCCUGGUAGUC
rnacentral:rRNA from 1 species